UCACGGGAGACACACGGCGGGUGCUAACGUCCGUCGUGAAGAGGGAAACAACCCAGACCGCCAGCUAAGGUCCCAAAGUCAUGGUUAAGUGGGAAACGAUGUGGGAAGGCCCAGACAGCCAGGAUGUUGGCUUAGAAGCAGCCAUCAUUUAAAGAAAGCGUAAUAGCUCACUGGUCGAGUCGGCCUGCGCGGAAGAUGUAACGGGGCUAAACCAUGCACCGAAGCUGCGGCAGCGACGCUUAUGCGUUGUUGGGUAGGGGAGCGUUCUGUAAGCCUGUGAAGGUGUACUGUGAGGUAUGCUGGAGGUAUCAGAAGUGCGAAUGCUGACAUAAGUAACGAUAAAGCGGGUGAAAAGCCCGCUCGCCGGAAGACCAAGGGUUCCUGUCCAACGUUAAUCGGGGCAGGGUGAGUCGACCCCUAAGGCGAGGCCGAAAGGCGUAGUCGAUGGGAAACAGGUUAAUAUUCCUGUACUUGGUGUUACUGCGAAGGGGGGACGGAGAAGGCUAUGUUGGCCGGGCGACGGUUGUCCCGGUUUAAGCGUGUAGGCUGGUUUUCCAGGCAAAUCCGGAAAAUCAAGGCUGAGGCGUGAUGACGAGGCACUACGGUGCUGAAGCAACAAAUGCCCUGCUUCCAGGAAAAGCCUCUAAGCAUCAGGUAACAUCAAAUCGUACCCCAAACCGACACAGGUGGUCAGGUAGAGAAUACCAAGGCGCUUGAGAGAACUCGGGUGAAGGAACUAGGCAAAAUGGUGCCGUAACUUCGGGAGAAGG
rnacentral:rRNA from 1 species